UACGAAGGGGGCUAGCGUUGUUCGGAUUUACUGGGCGUAAAGCGCACGUAGGCGGAUUGUUAAGUCAGGGGUGAAAUCCUGGAGCUCAACUCCAGAACUGCCUUUGAUACUGGCAAUCUUGAGUCCGGAAGAGGUGAGUGGAACUCCUAGUGUAGAGGUGGAAUUCGUAGAUAUUAGGAAGAACACCAGUGGCGAAGGCGGCUCACUGGUCCGGUACUGACGCUGAGGUGCGAAAGCGGGAGGGC
rnacentral:rRNA from 1 species